AAUCAACGCUGGCGGCGUGCCUAACACAUGCAAGUCGAACGCGAAAGUGGAGCAAUCCAUGAGUAGAGUGGCAAACGGGUGAGUAACGCGUGGGCGACCUACCUCUGAGUGGGGGAUAACCUUCCGAAAGGAGGGCUAAUACCGCAUGACAUCCCGUGUUUGGAUACACGGACAUCAAAGCCGGGGAUCGCAAGACCUGGCGCUUGGAGAGGGGCCCGCGUCCGAUAGCUAGUUGGUGAGGUAACGGCUCACCAAGGCUCCGAUCGGUAUCCGGCCUGAGAGGGCGGACGGACACACUGGAACUGAGACACGGUCCAGACUCCUACGGGAGGCAGCAGUGGGGAAUUGUUCGCAAUGGGCGCAAGCCUGACGACGCAACGCCGCGUGGAGGAUGAAGAUUUUCGGAUCGUAAACUCCUGUCGAGCGGGACGAA
rnacentral:rRNA from 1 species